rnacentral:rRNA from 6 species
UGGCCUCAAAUCAGGUAAGAUUACCCGCUGAACUUAAGCAUAUCAAUA